rnacentral:rRNA from 1 species
UUCUAUUUUGUUUAUAUUAAUAGUAAAACCUGCUCAAUGAUUUAUUAAAUAGCCGCGAUUUUUAUCGUGCAAAGGUAGCAUAAUAAUUUGUCCUUUAAUUGAGGUCUAGUAUGAAAGGUUAAACGAUAAAUUAACUUUUUUAAUUAAAUUAUUUUUAAUUUUAUUUUUUAGUUAAAAAGCUAAAAUUUAUUUAUGGGACGAUAAGACCCUAUAGAAUUUUAUUAUUAUUAUACUAAUAAUUAUUUUGUUUUUAUAUAUUAUUUGUGUGGUAGUAAUUUGGUUGGGGUGAUUAUUAUAUUUAAAUAACUAUAAUUUAUUUUUAUCAUAAAUUAAUGAUUUUUUGAUCCUUAUUUUUGGAUUAUAAGAUUAAAUUACCUUAGGGAUAACAGCGUAAUUUUCUUGGAAAGUACUUAUUAAUAGGAAAGUUUGCGA